rnacentral:rRNA from 1 species
AGAGUUUGAUCCUGGCUCAGGACGAACGCUGGCGGCGUGCUUAACACAUGCAAGUCGAACGGAAAGGCCUGCAGCUUGCUGCGGGUACUCGAGUGGCGAACGGGUGAGUAACACGUGGGUGAUCUGCCUUGCACUUCGGGAUAAGCUUGGGAAACUGGGUCUAAUACCGGAUAGGACAGCUGUUUAGUGUCAGUUGUGGAAAGUUUUUUCGGUGCAAGAUGAGCUCGCGGCCUAUCAGCUUGUUGGUGGGGUAAUGGCCUACCAAGGCGUCGACGGGUAGCCGGCCUGAGAGGGUGGACGGCCACAUUGGGACUGAGAUACGGCCCAGACUCCUACGGGAGGCAGCAGUGGGGAAUAUUGCACAAUGGGCGGAAGCCUGAUGCAGCGACGCCGCGUGGGGGAUGAAGGCCUUCGGGUUGUAAACUCCUUUCGACAGGGACGAAGCUUUUGUGACGGUACCUGUAUAAGAAGCACCGGCUAACUACGUG